CUAGUGACCUGAGGCAGGGCAGGGAGGGAAUCCAAGCAAGACGGUGGACCCCAGGAGGCGUUUGACUGACCUCAUCCUAAAGAAGCGACGUGGUUAUUUAUGAGCCCUGAUUUAAAAGUAGUGGCUGCUAAGGAAGUGAAAAAGGAGCUCACCCCAAGCUAUGAGAGAAGCUAUAGUCUCAAGAAUGCUGUUUAUGACGAUAUAAAACAACGUGGAGCUUGUGAUGGGAAAUAUGGAGAGCGGAAGACGCCCAAGCCUUGGGAUGAAAUACAGAUUGAGAAGAUGUUUGAUCACUGCAGCCCAUUAGGGCUGGGCUGCAGCCCAUUAACCCAAAUGAGAAAAGCUCUGGCUUCUCUAGGCAGCCUCUGAGCCUAAGCCGCAGGAGCCUCUGCUCAGCCGCCCGGCACAAGCAGCAGCCCCCACCGGCACCACCGC